AUCUAGCUGACGAGUUCCAAAUGGGUCGAAACGCGCGUCCCGGAU
rfam:Schistosoma margrebowiei strain Zambia genome assembly, scaffold: SMRZ_scaffold0000372